UCGUCCCCGGAGGCAGAGGAGCCGCGAUGCUGUGAUUGUCAACCGAGCAGGUAUUCUGGUGGCGCCCUUGCCGACAAUGCAGCGAUCGUCCUAGCGAUCGAUCGAUCGAUCGAUCGAUCGCUCGCUCGCUCCGGAGAAGAGCAGAGAAAUGAUCUGGGCAGGAUUCGCGUACGCCGCGGGCGCCGCGAUCGGCCACAGCUGCAUCGAUGCCAGCAGGAAAUGGGCGUCCCAGCGCUUCUCGGACCGCGAGCUCGUAGCUCUGGUGGCUCUCCUGGACGCGCUGCUCCUCUCCUCCAUGGCGCUCCUCUCCGGCGGCUUCGAUCUCUUCUCUUUGACGCGGCUGGACAUCGAGUACGUCGCCGCGCUCCUCGUCACCGCGGCGAUCAAGGCUCUGGUGGGGUUCAUGUACCAGCGUGCUCUCCACGUCUCCCCUCUCUCGGUCACUGUUCCUUAUCUAGCUUUCACUCCAGUUCUUCUGGUUUUUACGAGCUAUGUGAUCAUCAACGAGCUCCCGAGCUCGCAGGGGCUCAUGGGAAUCGUGGUGGUCACUCUCGGCGGCUACUUCCUCGCGCUGGAUCACCCGGCGGAGGUGGAGGUGAAGAAAUCCGACGAGUCCCCGGGCAAGAUCGUCUCGGUUCUUCCUUUGCUUCCUUGGAACUCGUCCAAGGCUUGUGACAAGGUCCCAAAGUUUUCCACCGAUGGCGAUGGUGUCGUGUUGGAUCUCAGUGAGAAGAACUCCCCUCCGGUGGCGAUUCCUGGAGGGAAUUCUUCCUGGUGGCCACAGAUUCAAUGGGAAGAGGGGACGCUUCUCAUGCUGGGUGUUGCAGCGUUACUGAGCAUAAGUAACAGCCUUGACAAAAUGGCUGGUCACUUGGCACCAUCGCUUCUCAAUUUUGCCGCUCUCCAACGAGGCUUUACGGCCGUUCCCGUGGUUUUAUAUCUACUUGUCACAAGCCGCCGCCACCGCCAUCCAUCUCCAACACCCCAGGAGCAGCAACACCCCGAUCAAACUUCUCGCUCAUGCGGCUCCUCACGCCCCGCUCCGCAAGAACAGUGUCUCUUCCAUUGCGAUUCACGCUAUCGUCUUCUUCGUCCGCGUCUCCGUCGUCUUCUUCGUCGACAGGGGCCGCGGCAGUGAGUCCAGAUGCCAUUAGAGAAAAUUUGAUCUCGUCAUCAAAGGGCAAGCAGAUCAAACGCUCCAAGUCGGCGCUCGAUGGUCACCAAAAGGAGAAGAAGCUCACCCGGCUUUACUCCGGAACGUUUCUCGUCAAGCCGACCACUCCUCGUCCUCGUCCCCAGGAAACUUCACAAGCAGACGAUGGAGCCCAAGACACUGACCAUGCCAACGACACCCAAGACGGCGAGGACGAGGAGAUCCCCGAGGAGGAAGCAGUGUGCCGCAUUUGCCUGUGCGAUCUGGGCGAGGAGGGCAAGACGCUCAAGCUCGAGUGUAGCUGCAAAGGGGAGCUGGCGCUGGCUCACGAGGAGUGCGCUCUCAAGUGGUUUGGGAUCCGAGGCAACCGCGAGUGCGAUGUUUGUGGCCAGGAGGUCGUCAAUCUCCCCGUCACGCUCGUCAGGCUCCAGCAAAACCAAAACAAUAUCAACGCUGAAACUCAAGUUCUCCAGCAAGCUCAAAUGGCGCAAAUGAGUGCUCCCAACAGGAUUUGGCAUGACGUUCCCGUGCUCGUCAUGAUCAGCAUGCUCACGUACUUUUGCCUCCUCGAGCAGCUACUGGUGA